AUUCNGGUUGAUCCUGCCGGAGGCCACUGCUAUGGGGGUCNGACUAAGCCAUGCGAGUCAAGGGGGCGUCCCUUCUGGGACGCCACCGGCGGACGGCUCAGUAACACGUCGGUAACCUACCCUCGGGAGGGGGAUAACCCCGGGAAACUGGGGCUAAUCCCCCAUAGGCCUGGGGUACUGGAAGGUCCCCAGGCCGAAAGGGAGCCGUAAGGCUCCGCCCGAGGAUGGGCCGGCGGCCGAUUAGGUAGUUGGUGGGGUAACGGCCCACCAAGCNGAAGAUCGGUACGGGCNGUGAGAGCGGGAGCCNGGAGAUGGACACUGAGACACGGGUCCAGGCCCUACGGGGCGCAGCAGGCGCGAAACCUCNGCAAUGCGGGAAACNGCGACGGGGGGACCCCCAGUGCCGUGCCUCUGGCACGGCUUUUCCGGAGUGUAAAAAGCUCCGGGAAUAAGGGCUGGGCAAGGCNGGUGGCAGCCGCCGCGGUAAUACCGGCGGCCNGAGUGGUGGCCACUAUUAUUGGGCCUAAAGCGGCNGUAGCCGGGCCCGUAAGUCCCUGGCGAAAUCCCACGGCUCAACNGUGGGGCUCGCUGGGGAUACUGCGGGCCUUGGGACNGGGAGAGGCNGGGGGUACCCCNGGGGUAGGGGUGAAAUCCUAUAAUCCCGGGGGGACCGCCAGUGGCGAAGGCGCCNGGCUGGAACGGGUCNGACGGUGAGGGCNGAAGGCCAGGGGAGCGAACNGGAUUAGAUACCCGGGUAGUCCUGGCUGUAAAGGAUGCGGGCUAGGUGUCGGGCGAGCUUCGAGCUCGCCCGGUGCNGUAGGGAAGCNGUUAAGCCNGCNGCCUGGGGAGUACGGCNGCAAGGCUGAAACUUAAAGGAAUUGGCGGGGGAGCCUGCUCCUUGCACACACCGCCCGUCACUCCACCCGAGCGGGGCCUAGGUGAGGCCCGAUCUCCUUCGGGAGGUCGGGUCGAGCCUAGGCUCCGUGAGGGGGGAGAAGUCGUAACAAGGUAGCNGUAGGGGAACCUACGGCUCGAUCACCUCCU
rnacentral:rRNA from 1 species